GAUGAACGCUGGCGGCGUGCUUAACACAUGCAAGUCGAACGAUGACCCCGUGCUUGCACGGGUGAUUAGUGGCGAACGGGUGAGUAACACGUGAGUAACCUGCCCCUGACUCUGGGAUAAGCCCGGGAAACUGGGUCUAAUACUGGAUAUGACCUUUAACCGCAUGGUUUUUGGUGGAAAGAUUUAUCGGUUGGGGAUGGACUCGCGGCCUAUCAGCUUGUUGGUGAGGUAAUGGCUCACCAAGGCGACGACGGGUAGCCGGCCUGAGAGGGUGACCGGCCACACUGGGACUGAGACACGGCCCAGACUCCUACGGGAGGCAGCAGUGGGGAAUAUUGCACAAUGGGCGAAAGCCUGAUGCAGCGACGCCGCGUGAGGGAUGACGGCCUUCGGGUUGUAAACCUCUUUCAGUAGGGAAGAAGCGAAAGUGACGGUACCUGCAGAAGAAGCGCCGGCUAACUACGUGCCAGCAGCCGCGGUAAUACGUAGGGCGCAAGCGUUAUCCGGAUUUAUUGGGCGUAAAGAGCUCGUAGGCGGUUUGUCGCGUCUGCCGUGAAAGUCCGAGGCUCAACCUCGGAUCUGCGGUGGGUACGGGCAGACUAGAGUGAUGUAGGGGAGACUGGAAUUCCUGGUGUAGCGGUGAAAUGCGCAGAUAUCAGGAGGAACACCGAUGGCGAAGGCAGGUCUCUGGGCAUCUACUGACGCUGAGGAGCGAAAGCAUGGGGAGCGAACAGG
rnacentral:rRNA from 1 species